AGACAUCGUUAAAACAGUCAUGUGACUGCAGUGGUUCAACCUUAAUGUUAUGAAGUGCGCAAAAACAAAACUAAAAUAAGGACUUUAUUCAACAAUUUUUCUUCUUCCCUGUCAGUGUUACGCAGUUGGCGCAGUGAACACAUUGCAGACCUUCCGUGUUUACGUCCGAACGCCGGCUCAUUAUUGGCCGUAGCUGGUCACGUGAUCAGCACGACGCAUGCGUGUGAUACUGACGCAGGAGCCGGCGUUCAGACGUAAACAUACUAAUACAUUUGCAGUUUCUGCCGUAUAUUUGAAAUACCCAGAUGAUUUACUACUUUCACUGUAUAUAACCUGAUCACACUGUGUGAGGUACAGUCUCAUUAUUUGAUCAAACUGACAAAUUGGAUUUUAAUUGGAUUAAACUGACUAUAUUUAUUUCCGAGAUGAUACAUGGAAGUUCCACAUUAAACUUGUGAAGUGAUGAGGUAAUGUUGGAGGUGUUUGUUACUGUAUACUCUUUCAGAUGCUGUUUCACAGUAAGUACACUAGUAAUCUGUUGUGUUGGGUUCAGAAGCUUGUGAAUGUGUUGUUGAUGUGGAUGAAUUCUGAUCCGUUCUGCUGGAUUCGUCUGAUCUUCACUGCUGCUGUUUGAAGAGCUGAAGGCAGAAUGAACGUUGACCAGAGACAGGCAAAUAUUUACUCCGGUAAAAGUGCAAACGCAACAGAUUUCCCACAUGUCAGAACCUGUAAAGAUCCAUAUUGUUCCUGUCAGUUGGACCUCCUUCUCUCUCUCUCUCAUUCACUUCAAAUCAAAUAGCUUUAUUGGCAUGACAAAAGUACAUUUUGUAUUGCCAAAGCAAUAAAACGACAUAGAAAAAUAGUUUUAGAAAUAGUUUAGAACAACUUAAUUUAAAUGUCAGAUAAAACAUUGAAAGUUAUAUACACCCUGACCCUAUAAAGUCAAAUAAAAUAAAAUAAUAAUAAAUAAUUAUGAUGCAGAAAUUUUGUAACAGUUUUUCCCUGUCUAUCUGACCUGAUCUAUGGAUUUCUAUUUUCACCAAUUCUGCACUAGAGUCUCUGAACAUUUCUAGAUUGAGUGGUCAGUAACUGAGGUGUUGGUCUGGAUGGACCUCUGAUCACAUGAUCCAGUUAUAUGACCUCUGAACUUCAGAUUCUGUUCUUUUUCCUCAUCGAUGUCAGACUGUCCUUAGUUUUCAGUUACCUCACAUCUCACCGGUACACUGGUAAACAAAGUGAACGAAGGACUUUAAGGCAGCUGUAGGCAAACAAGAGUUAUGAAUGACUUAAUCCUCACUGUUUGCUCUUAAACCAACCUGAAUCAAAACACACACGAAUCUCUAGAAUCAUCUCAUCAUUUCAUCUGUGCCUGGGUGAAGAUCAUUAACAGACAACCAGAUCCUCACCAGUGCAAAGGUCCUGCCUUGAGAGAAAAAGACUCAUUAUGCUCUCCGCAAAAAGCCUUCAAUGUUAGUGGGUCAAAGGAUCAUGCCAACAUUGCCAAUGUAAAUAUACUGUAUGCACACCUGCAGAUCUACAGGACACUCUUCAUCAAUCAUCAGAUGGAAGUUCUUCAUUGAAUUCAGUUUAUGAAGUUAUGGGGAUUCAGAUUAGGCUGAUGUCUGAGCUUGAUUAAAGUGACUCUCUAGUUCCUGCUGUUUUUUUUUUUAAACCGUCAUACAUUUUAUUUUUCAGGAUUCUUUGAUGAAUAGAAAGUUCAAAAGAACAGCAUUUAUUUGAAAUAGAAUCUUUUGUGUCAUUGUAAAUGUCUUUACUGCCACUUUUGAUCAAUUUAAACAAUUUAAACGUAAAUAAAAGUAUUAACUUUGUAAAAAAAGAAAAGAAAAAAGAAACCCAGAACCAUAGUACAUUUGACAUAAAGCCAAUUUACUGUUACUGCAAAUGUUAUGUGCGAUAUAUAAAUAUAACAGUUCAUUUGUGUGAUAAUGCUAAUGUGGAGCUGUGAAGUGUUUUUUUAAAGAUCAAGGAAAACUAUUCCUCAUGACACAAGAUCUCAGUCUGAUCUUUAUUCAGAUCCACCAUUAGAGGGCACCAUUCUUCAACACUGAAGAAUCUGGGAAAUAAACCAGUCUCUCAACUCCACAGCUGCGUUAAGACAAGCCUCCAAGAAUGAGAGUCUGUGGUUCUGCAUGCUGAACUCUGGUCGGAUCCGUCUCUCCAGUCUCGUCCACCACCGUUACACCCUACAGACACACAGUCAGAGCUGUGAAUGCUCACCGUCAACGCCUUUAUGACUUUAUCACUUAUUAAUGUUCAUUAAAUCACUCCACUGAGGCUGGAUUAUCUUAAUAAUAAUUUAAUAAUAAUUCCUUACAUUUAUAUAGCACUUUUCUGGGCACUCAAAGCGCUUUACAUAUUGAAGGGGGAAUCUCC